rnacentral:lncRNA from 1 species
GCCCCUGGACAUUAGCUACUAUGUAUUAUAAGGCACUGCGACAGCCCAAGAACUCUGUUAAAUAGGGAGACUGACAAUCUAGAAUUUUGUUCAAGAAAGCUACUAACACAAUCUGUGAGGCAUCUCUUUUGACCACUUCAUAUCCUCUUUCAGAGCCUCUAUUGGACACUGUGUUGUUGAUUCUACAUUUUCAUGAACUAGGA